rnacentral:ncRNA from 2 species
CUCUUAUUCAGAAUGGUGGAGUCAUAAGGGACUAUGAAGCCAUGGCAACCCCGGAACAGGUGAAAGAAAGACCUGUAUGGAAGGUGCCUUCCUGAGCGAGUCUGUGAUAUGCAGACGUCGAACAAUGAGAG